rnacentral:lncRNA from 1 species
UAUGUCCCCUUAUGGUUGUUAGUAUGGUAGUUACGGUUUGUUAUUAUUGCAUGCGACUGUAUUUAUGUUUCUUAUGUUUACAUAAUUAUUUACGUUUUUUCUGCGGGAUUUACUAAUGCUCUAUUGUUUUGUUUUGUCUUGCUUUUGUUUCUAAUUUUGUCUUUAUUUUUGUUUUUAUUUUUUUUUAAUGCAGCUUUUCAUUUUAUCCUAUACGCCGAGGGUCGAAUGGAAACAGCCUCUCGACCCUUUCGGGUAGGGGUAAGGCUCGUCUACAUAUUACCCUCCCCAAACCCCACCUGGUGGGANNNNNNNNNNNNNNNNNNNNNNNNUUAUUGCAUGCGACUGUAUUUAUGUUUCUUAUGUUUACAUAAUUAUUUACGUUAUUUCUGCGGGAUUUACUAAUGCUCUAUUGUUUUGUUUUGUCUUGCUUUUGUUUCUAAUUUUGUCUUUAUUUUUGUUUUUGUUUUUGUUUUAAUGCAGCUUUUCAUUUU